GAGACGUCUUCUACUUUGUAUCUGACACUCCACAAACAUCAAGAUGCUUUCUCACAGUUAUCUGCUGGCCGUCAUCUUCAUUUCUAUUCAGGGAUCCUGUGGGCAGACUGUGAUGACUCAGACUCCAGAUUCUAUCUCUGUGUCCCCGGGACAGACAACCACCAUAACAUGUACAUCCAGUGCUGAUGUAGGUGGCUGGGUAGCCUGGUACCAACAGAAAUUCGGAAAGUCUCCAACACUUCUCAUAUAUAAUGCAGUCACCCGACACACAGGAGUUUCAGACCGGUUCACUGGCAGGAGUGAUGGAUCUUUUACUCGUUAUACUCUGACAAUUACUGCCGUGACUGAAGAUGAUGAAGCAGAUUAUUACUGUCAGCAGGCUGCUCAGUUCCCCACAGUGAUACAGAGCCGUACAAAAACAUCCUUCCUCUAUUACAUAUAA